AGAAGUGUACAUUCCUGCAUAGUAUCAUGCAUUCCUGUAUUGUAUCCGCUGGGAGCGUUAACUUUGACACAUGGUCACGUGCACGUGGUACACUGUGGAUGUUUGUGGGACGAUCUAAUGUGUAUUCCUUAUGGGUGAUUUGCAAAAACAAGAGAUUAUUUAAAAUAUUACUAUUAAUUUUGUACAAUUGUAUCAAUACAUCACAAGAAAUUCGCUAUAAAUACUAUAUAUGGUAGAAAAUGUCUGAUAUAAUACAUAAAUAUAAUUUCGAUAGGAAGAGAUUUUUAGGUUAACAGCCGAAAUGUGAGGUUACGGCUGUCAAGAAGGACUUCGUAAAUGUAAACAAAAGUUGCAAAGCCAGAAUUUGCCCAAUCUCAAAGCCUUUUUAAUUCCUAUAAAGUUGAAAUGUUGCUUCCUCUGCUUAAGUAUAUUGUUUUUAACAUAAUACCACCAUAAUUCUGUCUUAAAUUUGUAUGAAAUAUAGUUUUUUAGUGAUAUUCACCAAGCAAAGUUUACAAACUUUUGUGAACCAUUCUAUUUUGUAUAAUAAAAAUGGUAAUGUGCUUUGCCCCGGAUUGUACACAAUAUUGUGAAAGAGGGAUAUGUAGAUUCUUUGUUGUUCCCAGGAUCUGGUUGAAAAGAAGACAUUGAUUUCAUUACUAAGGCACCCAGGAGAAGGGCAUGGCCCUAACCCUCAAAUAUGAGUAUUAUAGAAAAUUAACAGUUACCCAGGCAACCAUCCAAUGAGAAUCGUAGGAAAAUUAACAGUUCCAUAGACAAUCAUCCAGUGACCACAUUGUCUCUUUUUGGACAUACCAUCUGACGCUUUCUGAAGAAGAUCUUGGGGUGUAAAAAUAACCCAGGACAGCACCAGAAGAAGCCGUCAGACCACAGGCUAAAUUCCUUAUUAAAAUCUAUAGCUUGCCUAUAAACAGAGACAGACUAUUUUUAUAUAAAAUAACUUCAUUAGUUCUAAAAUGUAGAUCUUGAAUUGUGACCAUAAUAAAAUGAGAAAAUAAAGUGUUUAUACUGAA